AAAUGAAAGGUCAUGGGUAUUAGGGUUUAACCCUAAUCCUCCACACUAUAUAAAGAUGUCCUUGGUUGGUGAAAUGGGCACUAGUGUGGGUACACUAAGAGGGCUAGCCAAUUUCACUAGAGAGAACCAAGUAUCCAUAUUCUCUAAAGUCUUCCAAGGUGUUUUGGUGAUUUGUGAUUCCAUUUGAGGCUUCCACACUAUUGGGGCUAAGCUCUUAAAGCUUGAAGACAUCAAGCUACACCAAAAGGUAUGUCAUCUAACUAGUCUUUGUAGUAUAGUUACCUCAUAGUAUGCUAGUUAGGAUUAAAGCCUUGGAAAGUUCUUAUUUGCAUGUAUAAUAGAGAAAACAUAGAUCCAAGGUUUAUAGGGUUGCAUGUACACCAUAGGAGUGUUAGAAUGCUCAAAACCCAACAGUGGUAUCAGAGCCAUGGGUUGUUUUCUGUUAUAUUGAUGCAAAUGUUUUAUUUUCAAAGUGGAAAAAAAAGGAAAAAAAAACAUGACGUUUGUCAAAUUUUAAGAUAAUUUUUUGUUUUGUGAAAAACUAAUUAUUUGUAAAAUUUGAAUCAUUUGCUAUAUGAGUUGAAUUAGGUCAAAUUUAGUAGAGGAUAAAAUGAUAUGAUUAUUUUAUUAGUUUUAAAAGUUUGAUCUAAAGAGUUUUUUGAAACCUCCAUAAGUUAUGGAUAUGAAAAGGUUUAAAAAAAUUGAUUCAAAGCUUUUAUGGAGUUACAAAAUUUGGAAUUAAUGUCUUAAAGAAUUCCAUAAAAUAUUCUUAAGUUAUGGAACAUGAAAAGUUUCAUCAUAAAACAAACAUUUAACUCCAUAAGUUAUGGAUUACCAAAAGUUUUAUGUUUCCUUGUUUUAUGAGUUAGUUUAGAUUAAUGAAAAAAAUAAAUUUGUGUUUUAGUUGUUUUCAAUCUUAAUUAAUCUAAAAGUUUUUCAUAAAAUGUGUUUUUUUUGUAACUUGUCCUCAAGUUACAUAAAAGGUCACAUUUAUGAAUCCUAAAACUCAUAAAAUUGUCAUAGGUUACAUAAAAAAUGAAGAGUCUUUUUCAUUAAAUAGUAUUAUGACUCCAUAACUUGUCCUCNUAGUUAUGGAUGUCUAAGAGUCUCUUCAUUAAAAAUUUUCAUACUUUAAUUAAAACUCAUAAGUUAUGAAAAUCCAAGAGUUUUGAAUAGUUUCAAAACUUGCCCUCAAGUUUUGGAAUUUGAAAAGUUUUCUUUUAUGAAUACUUUAAUUCCAAGUUAAGCCCUUAGAAUUUUAAAGAGUUAAAAUUCAACCCUUAUACUUUAUAAUAUUAUAAGUUAAUAAUAUUUAUAUAUAUGUAUAAGAGUAAAGUCAGUCUUACCGUUAGUAGGCCUCAUUCACGAAGCCGGUCUAUAAGGGGGGUAUAAGGUUACUGCCUAUAAAAUGGCAGUUUAAUGGGUGUCCACUCUCACCCACCGCUUCCUUGACUGGUGGAGGGUCGUUAGCCGAACGGGUUUGACAGGACUAUAAUUCUCCCUUCAUUAAAAGUAUUAAUGAUAAAUACUAAGUAACUAAACUCUUAAUAAUACCCAAUCUUAGUUACUUAGGAAAAUGUGAAUAAGGUGCUAAUCCAUGAAAUUACACUUUGCACUUUGUUUAAGUCGGUUAGUGGAGCGUGUGUGGUUAACCGGCACACUAACUCGUAUUUAACAAGGUAGGCAAAGGGUAACUUAAUGUUUAUCAUAGUAUCGAUGGAGCGUGUGUGGUUAACCGGCACAUCGAUUGAGGGGUAAACACUUAAGGGUACCAAGUAAUUUGCAUGGUUACUUCACACCUUGUUUUGUGAUCCUCGGCAUCCCAGUCACAAAACCUGAAGGGCACACUCGAGAUUGAAACAUGCCAUUGAAAGUUCAAUGAAUCUCAAAGAUCUAGGAAUUUCAAAUCCAAUUAAAACCUAAUUAAUUAUUUCGUUUUUCAUGGUGGAAAUUGGUGAAUCGUCAUUCACCUACCUUCAAAUAUUCUAUAGCUUGGAUUACGGCAUCCCUCUUCCAAGUUAUAAAAUAGUUUGUUGGGUCCUAGCCUUAAUAUUUCAUAUUGGGUGUUAUAUUAAGGACUUUAAAUCAACUAUCUUGAAUAUCUCCCAAAAGAUGUCUAGUUCAGACAUCUAUGAUCUUCCCAAAUAUCUUGGAACUUCACUUCCUCCACCUCCUCCAAUUAUUCUCCCUAACCCACAAGUUCAAGGUCACUCAAGCCCUAUUGGCAAGGCAAGGUCUAGGUGUGAUCACAUCUUGGAGAUGAAGUCACAUGCUGACAAGCCGGGAGAGUUGGGUGUCAAAGUCUUGAGAAAGUUAGUGGUUCAAUCACUUUCUAAGUCACAUAGUGAGUUCCUUUGGGACUCCUAUGAGAUAGACUAUGACAAGACCCUUAAUGAUCCUAUCUAUUUGCUUGGUUCUGCUAAAUCAGAAAUGAUUUAGUGUACUAGUAAAGCAAAUUUGAUUAGGAGAUCAACUUCCCAAAACUUUAUGGACAGGGACAAUAGUGACACAGGAAAUCCAGAAAUGCAUUCUCUUCCCAAUGGAAAGGGAUUGGCCAUAGUCAACUUGGUUGACCAAAUGGUAAAGAGAAAGGCUAAGUCUGAGAUAGUCCCAUGUACUAUUACCUAAGGAUCCAUAUAUUUCUAUUGCCAAAGGAAGGGGCUUUGGUUAUGAAGCUGCCAAACUUACCUAAGGAUGAUAAAGUCAAUAAGUUUGACUUUAUUUCAGGUAAAGUCCAUGGUCUAACUCUAUUAAGUUCCUACUUGGAGAUUCUUAUUACAUGAUGUGGCUGGGUCACAUGUUGAUGUUUUAAGAAUCAAAGAAAAGUAAAGAAACUUAAAGGAAGUAUAUGCUGAUUCUGAUCGCGAAGAUGGAUUUCGAUCGCAUGGUUCGGUGAUCAGAAUUUUGAGCACGUGCUUAAGAGUUAUGAUAGAUUGCUUAGGAAUAGAUGACAACAAGUUUUUAUAUACAUCUGCAUUGUAAGGAUUAGUUUUUCCGCAAAGUUUUAAAAUAAAAGAAAAGUUUUUAAUUUUAUUUAUUUUAAAAAAAAUAUCCUUACAAUGGCAUUUGGAAAAAAAAGAUGUUGUUUAUAUGAUUCCAUUGAUAGCAAUAUUGGAAAUAUGAAUUUGAGUCUUUCAUUUGUGGUAGUGUCUAAAUUUACCAAAUAAGGAAAGAUUCUCAUCACCCAAGUUUCAGUUGGAUAGAAACUUGGAAUCAUGCAAGUUGUAUAGUAUGAUGAAUGAGAACUUUCGAGCAUUGGAAAAUUAAGACUAACUGCUUGUUCACAUGGAUGUGUGAGUCAAGAGAAGGACUAAGGGAUCAAGUACACUUUCUUGUGCACUUGUCAAAGUCCACCACAAAAGAUGGAUAAGACUAUUCGUCAUGAUUUACUAAGGUUUAGUAAAUAUGAUUAUACUUACAAGCUUAAGUAUAAUUCUGAAGCAUUGAAAAUCUUUUCAAUGUAUGACAGAACGAAUAAGAAGAAUCAAAUUAGGCAGAAGGAUAAAAGUUUCUCAAAUCUGAAAAGAUGGGAGAGUCCUUUAGUAUCAUGUUUUAAGAUCAUCUUAAUGAUUUUGAGACCUUAUCACAAUUCAUCCUCUAAGUACAUUCUGAGAGUUAAGAAGAGGAGUUACGAAUUGUUGAAGUAGUUAAAUCAAGAAGAUGAUUCAUACUUCAUUCGGAAACAGUUCAUAGAGUUAUACUCUAAUAUUGUAACUUGAGUGACGUGUCUUAAAGAAGGUUUAAAACACUCGUCAAAUGUAAGAGUAAAAGUUUUCUACUCUUGUACGUUUGAAAUUGGUAAGUUGUGAUGUUUUGGAUAAAACAAAGAUCAACUAAGGCUAAUUGUGUUAAGUGUCUGUCUUGAUUAGAAUCCACACACUAUCUCUUGAAUAUUUGGCAAGAAAGUCUUAUAGGUCAAGGAGACAGUGGGAGUCUAAAAGAUCCUGAAAGGGUUUCAAGAAGUAAUCAAGAACAAAAACCUGUAUUUCAUCACUAGCACACAACUAGAGGUUUAUAACCUAUCGUGUUGACAUUUCUAUGCCCAUUCCAGUUAAAUUGGCUAUACAUUUGAGUUCUACAUGUUCUUAAUUGUUUGGAUAACUACUUGGAAGCAAUGGCAGGCCCUUGAGCUGCCAGGUGGCAAGAAGUUAAGAUUGCACAAGUUCAAUCCAUAUGAGUUAGGAUUUGUCACUAACCUAGUCAUGUGGUUAUGGUUUUGACAAAUUCACAUGGAUAGGAACGCUUACACCAUAAAAUCUAAGUGUCAUAAGGUUUCUCUUCGAUUCAUGAAAAUGAUGGUAAGGAAACUCUUUCACUAAGUAGAUUUUAAGUAGAUAGCAAUUGUGACUUUUGCAGUUCUCAAAGUCAUUAGUGGAGCGUGUGUGGUUAACCGGCACACUAACAUUGACUUAUGAGAAAUGGCAAAAGGUAUAAACAAUUUAGACUAUGAUUACGGCAUCCCUUUUCAUAGUUCUGAAAUUGUUUAGACACACUUGUGAGCUAUCUAAGAGAGGUGUAUGAUUUUGAUAAAGUCUUAUCAAGGCAAUCUAGUAUCAGAAAUCUGAACUUUGGUAAGAAAGUCAAUAAAGUAUUGAUUUCUAGAAGUCCAGUUGAUUUUUGGGUACAUGUCGAAGCUAGUGGGAGCAUAAGUCUUAUGCUAUUAAUCAUCAUGUUAGUGGGAGCAUGAUAAAGGUUGCAAGUUAGCAAUGUUAAUUAUAGAAAACAAAAGGUCUCAAUUGGGAAAAGUUGUUUUGCUAUAAUUAAGGGAGAGGAAAUUAUACUUCAUCUCAAAUCUAAAAGCUUAGAUUGAGGUCUUAAUCGUAUUUAGUCAAGAAUAUAUAUAUGAAUUUCAUGUUGGAAUGGCUCAACAUAAGGAAAUUCUAUGUAUGGGUUCAUUAUUUGCGUUCUAAAAUUCGAUUAUGAUUACGGCAUCCCUUUUCAUAAUCUGAAUUAUGAGAACUUGGCAAAUAGAAAUGGAAAUAUUAUAGCAAAAGACUGGUUUAGUCUUUAUGUGAGACAUCAUGAAUCGUGUCCCAUAUGCUUCGGAUAUAGGAUCGAUUACAUGUGCUAUAUUCAUCCUUUCUAAAAUUUUCCAAAUGCCUGGGGCAUUAAGAAGGGAAAAGGUUUAGAAUUGGAUAUGACUAAAAGGAUUAAACAAUUGUCGAGGACAAUCUAAGGUUUACCAAAGAUUGGUUGCUCAAGGACAGUUGGAAGUAUAGUGAUAAUUCUGGAAGGACCAUAUUGACAUAAUCUGUAAGGAGGCAACUCUUGUUCAGAAGUGAUAGUCAAAAUGGAAUCUGGAAAUGUUUCAAAGUUAGAAUUUUCAAUCUGUUUAAGAUUAGGAAACUUAAUGCAAGAAGGAUGUUUCCAAGGAGCUGAUCUCCUUUGGAAUACUCUGUAAUGAUUGUUGUCAAGUCUUUCUGACUUUGUGCAUAAUCAUUACAAGAGGAUCAAUGCAUAUAAGUUUAGAAUCUAACAGAUUUCAGUAAAUGGCAUGAAUUUGGAAUUCUUGCAUUUGCAGUAAGGAUUUGGGAGUGUGAAAAGAGAAUCAUUGAAGUUAUGUUCAAUUGAUCUAGUUCACAAAGUAAAGAUCAUAGACAAACAUAGUAUGCAUACUUGGUGUAUGGCAUGACUAGUGUUUAGAAAACAUAGUGUACAUGCUUGGAGCAUGGGACAACUAUUGUUUUAAAUUCAAGAAUAAAGUUGAUAGCUGAAACAGUAUACAAUGAAUAAUGUGUAAUCAUAUGGUGAUAAAUAAAAGGUGUUUUAUUUAUGUUCAUAGGUUUUGAUACCAUAUUGGAUUCAAUUAUUAUUGUGUUUCACUUUGCAUGUUUUGACUUCCCGAAUAAACUAGGUUAUUCUUCCGGAAUGACUAAGUUAUUCAAACCAUCCACAGUCGGUCAUAUGUUGGAAGUAGAUAUGAAUUAAGACUGUCAUGGGUUGGCUUGUAGAGGUCUAAGGUGUUGGACAAAGGGCUACAACACUCAUGAGUGCUCAUAAGUUCUGAGUAUUGGAUUCAACCCGCGCUCAUUGGAAUCACUUCAUGGAUUUUAUCACGAGUGAUCAUGAGACGAUAAUAUCUUAUAUUCUUCAAACCUAGAGAUAUGAGUUGUUACUAUGAGUUGGUUGUACAUUGAUUGCACGAAAACGCAUUCGGUAACUCGGUGUUAUAAAACGUGCCUUUGUGUAUGAUUCAACAAGUAGUAGAACAAGCCAUAUGAGUCGAAGUUUAUCCAUUCCUUUUAUCUUCGGGAUAAAAGCGAUAUAUGUGGGCCCCUCGAUGAUUUAAUGAUGAUACAUGUGAGUGCUUGGCCAAGCCAGGACUGAUUUGAUUUGUUCAAUCAGUCAGUCAUCAUGAAUCGGAAAUCGGGAAACAACAAAUGGACAGAGAGAAUGAUUAUAAUCCAUGUCUCAGUCCAUAUGAUAUCUAGAAUGGAGGAAUAUAUGAUCCCUUAUCUAAUGGACAAGUUCGUUGACAAGAUCAGAGUUCGACAGCGGCUUUAAGAGCUACGAUUGCCAGUUAGGUUUUGAAGUCAUACUCAAUAAUAGUUUUAGACUUAUCCAAGUGGGAGACUGUUGGAUUAAUGUCUAAGUCCAUAACUAUAUUUGGUAUGUACUUGACCCGACCCGGCAUGGUCCAUUUGGGUUGCACUUCACCGGCACAAUUUAUAUGGAUAGUAUUUUGAGAAUAGUAUAUUUAUGAUUUAUAUUAAUAUAUUAUAAGUUCUAAUAUAUUAAUAUAAUCAUAUUAUUUAAUUAGUAUUGAUCAAGAAUUAAUUUAUAAUUAAUUAAGUGAUCAAAAUGAUAUAUAUAUGUGUGUGUGUGUGUGUGUGUGUGUGUAGUGGGUCAAUUUCAUUUAGGUUGGGCUAAGUCUUCAUGGAUAGUCCAUGCAGCUUUAACCCAUGGAUCCUAGGAAAUGAAAGGUCAUGGGUAUUAGGGUUUAACCCUAAUCCUCCACACUAUAUAAAGAUGUCCUUGGUUGGUGAAAUGGGCAGUAGUGUGGGUACACUAAGAGGGCUAGCCAAUUUCACUAGAGAGAACCAAGUAUCCAUAUUCUCUAAAGUCUUCCAAGGUGUUUUGGUGAUUUGUGAUUCCAUUUGAGGCUUACAAACUAUUGGGGCUAAGCUCUUAAAGCUUGAAGACAUCAAGCUACACCAAAAGGCAUGUCAUCUAACUAGUCUUUGUAGUAUAGUUACCUCAUAGUAUGCUAGUUAGGAUUAAAGCCUUGGAAAGUUCUUAUUUGCAUGUAUAAUAGAUAAAACAUAGAUCCAAGGUUUAUAGGGUUGCAUGUACACCAUAGGAGUGUUAGAAUGCUUAAAACCCAACAGUGUCUUCUUCUUGAACUCUUAGUUGAUGAAUAUUGGAUCUUAGUUUAAUCUUCGAGUGGUAGCGGGGUCCGUGCAACUGGUCGAACAGAUCAUCGAUCCUUGGGAGUAGGUAUUGGUCCAACUCUCGAUAGUCGAUGCAUAUCCUGAACAGUCCAUGCUUCUCUUUAUCAAGCAACACUAGAGCUCCCAAGGUGAAAAUCUUGGCUGGAUAAAGCACUUUUUAAUUAGUUCAUGGAGUUAACCGGAUAGUUAUUGCAUUUCCGAUGGUUCUAGGCGAUAAGGAGAUCCUGCCACUAGUGAUACACCCUAGAUUAUGUCAAUUUGGAAUUCCACCUGCUUGACUGGGGGUAGUCUAGGUAGAUCCUUUGAGAAUACGUCCGGGCAAUCGCACACUUGUGGAAUAUCUUUGAU
rnacentral:lncRNA from 1 species